UGUAUAAAGAUUAGAAAAAAACAGAAAUCAAAUUCACUUAAAAUCUUCUCAGAUAUUUGCGGGUUCGUGGUAAAAAAAACCACUCCGUAUUGGUUUUUUAUUAAUAAUGUCGCAUAACAUAAUCUCUGUAGAUAAUAAAAACAUGUAUGGCAUCACGAUUUUAGUAUAAUUGCCCAUCGAUCAAUGAUAAAAUGUCUAACGAAUUAAAUGCUUCAAUUCACGAGAAACGUCUCACCUCGCGUGGACUUAUAUUUUACUGUAGUGCGAUAGAAAAUUGACGGGAUAAAUUGCUGAUUUCUUUAGCUUUUUUAACUCGGCACUCUCUCAUAUU